AACGAACGCUGGCGGCAUGCCUAACACAUGCAAGUCGAACGAGACCUUCGGGUCUAGUGGCGCACGGGUGCGUAACGCGUGGGAACCUUCCCUUAGGGUCGGAAUAACUCCCCGAAAGGGGUGCUAAUACCGGAUAAUGUCUUCGGACCAAAGAUUUAUCGCCUUAGGAUGUGCCCGCGUUGGAUUAGCUAGUUGGUAGGGUAAAAGCUUACUAAGGCGACGAUUCAUAGCUUGUUUGAGAGGAAGAUCAGCGACACUGGGACUGAGAGGCGGCCCAGACUCUUACGCGAGGCAGCAGUGGGGAAUAGUGGAACAUGGGCGAAAGCAUGAUCCAGCAAUGACGCGUGAGUGAUGAAGGCCUUAGGGUUGUAAAGCUCUUUUAACCGGGAUGAUCAUGACAGUACCGGGAGAAUAAGCCCCGGCUAACUACGUG
rnacentral:rRNA from 1 species